rnacentral:misc_RNA from 1 species
AAAAAAAAAAAGGGAAACAUUGGAGGAAACUGUCGGGCAGCAAGCAAACAUCUACACCUAAAUUUGAUCCAAAAACUACCAUAUCAAAAUAAGCAGCCACUGUUAAAAUACUAGUUGAAAGAAAUUUGAGAAAGCCAGUCAUUCAUAGUAUAAAUGAUGCAUACAGGAAACUAAAAAUCAUAUCCCAGAAUUAGUCAACUUCUCCUGGCACAAAUAGGGGUCAAAACUAUAGAUCUUCAUGGACUGCCAGGCUUGGGUCCCCGGAAAAUUGUUCCAAGCAGCCUCCCAGAAGUUUAUUCCUUGCGAGCAGAAUGGAACUGCCAAGAAUAUUGUCAGAUGACUAAAACUCUCGUCCCUUAUAUGGCAUUUCCUGCAUCAAAACAAAAUAAACCGUUCCGAGGGGCAUGAUUUUAGUCCCAAUUCCUCAAAUUCAUGUAGACUACAGUUUUAUGUUGUGUUUAAGAAAAUAAAAAUAUUCUCCACCCCUCUACAUACAUGUACAUACAUAUAUAUGUAUCCAUCCUUCACUAAUAGUCAUUAAUUAGAUAAUAUAGCAUAAUAUGAUGAUAGGUAUAAUUAAAACAGAUAUUUCUUAAAUUCACAACCACAAAAUUACAUCAGGUUACAUGUUGAAUGAGAAAAGCCUAUUUUUGUCCUCGCAAAUUUUGAGAGAUACAAUGCAAAAUACAUCCUCAAUUAAAAGAAAGAGAUCAGAAUCGCUCACAGGUUGGUAACUUGGCAUGUACAAGACUUGCCUAGGGUGGCCAACAAGCAUAUUCUGUCCAUACUCAGGUCCACCUGGAUGAAAAUAUGCUUGUGGUGUUUGCAAUGAUGCAACCUGUGGAUUAAAUAUAACCGGCUGAUGGCCAGUAAAUGAUGGUCCAAUUCCAAUUCCCAUAGGCACACCAUGCAUAUGUGGCAGACUAGGAAUGUUAGGUUGAAAAUAAAGGGAACCAUCUGGAGAAAGAGGCCUAACAGGAGUUUGAGAAGGGGUGAAACUCUUGGCAUUGGGAUUUAGUUUGAAUUCCUGUAAGCAUAUUUAAAUAAAAGAAAAAGAAAAGAAAAGAAAGGUUAAAUUUAGCUUAUAUGAGAAAGAUGCCUGAUAUAGCAGAUCAUAUUCAAAAAGUAUUGUGUAGUCUUCUACAUACUCUGUUUAUGUCACCACUACAAAAUGCAAAAAAAUAGACCUCAAAUCUAUCACACCUUAGCAUGGGGAUUCAGUGUUGACUUCUCUGAUGAUAAUGAACCAACUGAUGAGCUUGGUGAUAAACCGCGGCCAUUGGUAACUGAGACAGUGCCUACACAAUCAGAAUGUGAAGAUGUAGAACUGACAGGUCGUCCACGAGAAUUUAAAUGUUGUGCUUCUCCAACUCCUUUGACAGAUGGUGCACCUUCUAAAAGUGCAACAGGAGAACUUGUCUUUUCGUAACUUUUUGAAGAAACAUUGGAUGAAGGAGCAUAGGCAGUUGCAUUAGGGGAUAGUACCCCUUUAUCAGAGUCAUCUUUCUUUUCAUUCAAUGAUGACAGAGAAUCUAUGGGAAAUAAUUAAACAAAACAUUAGAUAAUUAUUUCCAAAAAUGGAAGAAGCUCGCUGUGCAUUAUAAGUAAUACUGAUGCGAGCAUCCUGCUCUUCUAUGUAAAAAAUUGCAAGGUAGGUGACAUUUCGGUGUAUUUCUUGUGUCAUGCGCAUGAUUCUUCAACUUCAAUGGAUCGGUUAAACUAAAAGCAUUGCAGAAUAAUUCACUCACCCUCACAAGUUGGCAAAUGAGCAUCUUCAACCUGAGUUUGCUCUUCUACACACUCCUCCAUGCGGUCAUUUGCUCCCUGUUCACCACAAUAGUUCUCUUGGAUCCUGCUCUCACUCUCUGAAGUGGACAAACUUUUAGAAGGUGGCUCAGAUGGCAGCUGUCUAGCAUGCUCAUAAGAACCUGAAUGAUGAUCUGCACCCGUACUUGAAUGAGAACACUGUGCCUCAUCCAAAGAAGAACUUGAUAAAACUCGAGCUCCUCCAUUACUCUUCCCAUCGGUCAAAUCUGCAGACUUCAUAGUAGAAGGCGCAGAUGUACCUCCAAAGGUUUCACUAUUGCGGGAAUCCAACAUCAUGUCCUCAGUUUCAUCAUAUCCACUAUCGUCAAUCACUAUACCUCUAUAUACAGAUGAAAAUCUGGUCUCUUCAUCAAUAUCAAAAUUUUCAUAAAGUUGGAUCCCUCUUUCCUCAGCUAAAUGAAGGUCUUGUGUAUCCUCACCCUCAAUUUCUCUUGCUAUUCUCAUAGCUUCCUUCUCCAACUCUCUCAUCUGAGGACCCCUCUCCAGCUUUGUAGUAUAAAGUUCUUCAUCAAAGGUGCUUUUUACUCCAAAUAGCAUCUCAUUUGUUUCAAAUUGAUCCCAGCCCCUAUUCCGAGAGCCAUUGAAUAUAUUCUCUAAUUCAGGGCAUUGUGGGUCAUCUUCAUCAGGUACCCAUGGUUCCAGCUCUCUCUCCACUUCAGUGUGACGAGAUUGUGAUAUAAAGGAGUCUAUCAUAAGCUCCUGCUGCUUUUCACACUGGAGCUCAUGGUUCAUCCUAUCCAUGGUUAUAGACACAUCCUUUGCUAUCACUUGUACAACUUCUUUGCCAGGUAUAAUUAAAGUCUUUGAAGGAGCCCUGCUAAGGGUUUCUGCCUUCUGCCCUCGAAAAGAAACAUCCUUUGUCAAGCGAGCCAUUUUCAGAAUAAUUGCAAAUUCCUUUUCAACAUUUGUUGUAUAACAUGUCCCAGAAUAUAUGGAUCCAUUUUUCAGGUGAACUUCCACAGGGUGCCCGAUAAGACACGUUGACAAAUAUACCAGCCGAUCACGAGAAGGACUCUCAUAAAUUCCAACUUUGGUACCAACCAUUGAUCUAUUCGCACUUGAUUUUCCAGAUUGCAGCUUAUUCUCCAAUCUUGCCCCGCCUUCCCUUUCAGCUCUUCGACGACCAAAUCCAUUAGCAUAAGCUUUGGGCUGGGCAGCCUGUUGCAAACUCAUCUUGACAACAGCAGCACCCUCUAACCUUAGAUAUGGUUGAUUGAUCAGCAAUUUUGUAGAAACCGCCUCUCAAGCUUGAGAAAAGAGCGAGAGGGAAUAGGGUCUUUGAGAUAGGGUUACUAGGUUAUGGGUAAAGGUUUUCGUUUUAGGGCUCGAAAGCGAGAAGGAUCAAGAGCACGAAGCACGAGGCAACUCCAUGGAACAAUAUAUAGGUGCUUGUGGAGAGAAAGAAGAAAAGAGAGAGAGAGGGAGGGAGAAAGAAGAAGAGAGAAGAUUCGAUGUAAUCGAGAGAGCGGAAGAGACGAUGGAGGGAGGAAGAGGUUUUGCUGAUUUUUGAGAAGAAAAUGUGAAAAAUAGAGGGCGAGG